GAUGAACGCUGGCGGCGUGCCUAAUACAUGCAAGUCGAGCGAACAGACGAGGAGCUUGCUCCUUUGACGUUAGCGGCGGACGGGUGAGUAACACGUGGAUAACCUACCUAUAAGACUGGGAUAACUUCGGGAAACCGGAGCUAAUACCGGAUAACAUGUUGAACCGCAUGGUUCAACAGUGAAAGACGGUCUUGCUGUCACUUAUAGAUGGAUCCGCGCCGCAUUAGCUAGUUGGUAAGGUAACGGCUUACCAAGGCAACGAUGCGUAGCCGACCUGAGAGGGUGAUCGGCCACACUGGAACUGAGACACGGUCCAGACUCCUACGGGAGGCAGCAGUAGGGAAUCUUCCGCAAUGGGCGAAAGCCUGACGGAGCAACGCCGCGUGAGUGAAGAAGGUCUUCGGAUCGUAAAACUCUGUUAUUAGGGAAGAACAAAUGUGUAAGUAACUAUGCAUGUCUUGACGGUACCUAAUCAGAAAGCCACGGCUAACUACGUG
rnacentral:rRNA from 1 species